CGGAACAUGUAUGUAGGGCAUAUCUCAAUCAUCUUUCAUUGCCAGAGAAAAAAUGUAGAUCAUCAUGAACCAAUUAACUAGAAAAAUUUAUAUUCCAAUGCAAAACAAAAUCCACAAAGGAAAACCUAAACAAGAGAGAAGUACAUUAAUCCUAAACAUACAGUUACCUGGACAACAGAUGCAAUCAGAAAAUAUGUUUUGUAAAACACCUUAUAUUAUCUACCAGUAAAACACAACAUUAAAAGAACAGAUUAUAGAAAAUAUCAUUUCAUUUCAUCAAAUGCUUCUUUCAUGGUAUCAAGUAAUGAGUCAAUGAAUUCAUUAACACAUUAAAGUAUAUCCGGGAAAAGCAAUAAUCCAAUUUGACAUCCUUGACCGAGAUCAUAGCCAAUUUCUCAAACAAAAUUGUAAAAUUAAAUUAUAUAUCAAAAUUCAAGAGAACUCCCUUGCCAUAAAUCAAUAAUUACUCCCCUAGAUCCAAGAUGAAAACAGAAAAACAAGUUGAGCAAAUUUCAAUUAUCACCUUCAUUUCCGAAAAAAAAAAAGAAAUAACAAGCUUUGUAUUACAUCCAUAAUUGAAAGUGAUAUACAAGAACUUGAAAUAAAAGCACGACCAUAUAACUGAAUAUCUUCCUAUGCAACUGAAAUCAGCUUAACACUGGCACUUAAAUCCAUGUAAGACCAGCAAUGAAAAAUCAACAGUUUGCUCCUGCGUAUUUAAGUCCAUGAAGGAAAACAAUUUUCUCAACCAAUUGAAGCACAACAUACAGAAGCAAAUGGUAAGUGCUAAUGAAGUAUCACAAUGCAGAGGAUUUAAAAAUAAAAAAAGUCGCCACUCUGCUCAGAAGAAUAAAUAGUGAGGCACUGCCCUGAAUUGAAAGUUGAAAAUGUUUCAAAAAGUAAUUAAAAAAAUAUGCUAAAAGAAAGACAACAAACAUCAAAGAAAACAUAACUUGAAAAUGUAAAUCAUAAAGGAGAAAAAAAUUGAAAAUUAAAAAUAAUAAUAAAAAAAAACAUUCACCUUCGUAGAAGAAGAGCAAAAACAUUCACCUUCGUAGAAGAAGAGCAAUGCCAAACUGAAGUUGCAAAAGUAAGAAGUUUUAAAGUAAAUGCCUCUUGAAAAAAAAGGAAAAAAAAAUAAAUUAGAAAGAGUGCAGAAGUACUCAGAUCGAUAGAGAUGGAAGCCAACUAAAUCAUAUAAAACAAGCGAAUAAAAAUCUAAACCCAAAUUAUGAAACACAUACUUCACCAAAAUAAUACAGCAAGCAAAUGAAACAUCCAAAUUGCAGCAGUAAUUUGAUGUUGUUUACAGAAUAAGCAUACAAAAAAAGUAUUGAUCAGGCCUGGCCUCUCUAUGACGAUGCAACCCUUCAUAUCAUAACCAAUGCUUAACACUAGGAUUUAAGUCCAUGAAGGAUAGCAAUUUUCUCAACCAUUUGAAGCACAACAUAUAAGAUGCAAAAAAGGAAAUGACUUCAAUUACUUUGCUUUUUGGGUUGAGUUAAGACAUAAGUCCAUUUUCUUAUCUCCCAUCAAUGUUGAGCAUCCAUAAAUAUUUUGAUGCCCCUAGUGUUAGAAGGGUGUGAUGAGUAUCCCACGUGGAACCCUUCCAUAUGGACUUAGGUAACCCCCUCCCGUGAGCUAGCUUUUAAGAGUGAUUUAGAGACCAAAGUCCAUGUUCUAAACACAUACUUCACCAGUUCAACCAUGUUUAAACAUGGAAAAUGUUGUUAUUUAAUCAAAGAAAACAAAUGAAAAGAAUUGCAAUAAAAAUUUUGGUCUGGGAAAAGAAUACAACCAAAAGGUAAAUGAAAACAAAAAUAGUGAGGCACUGCCCAGAAUUGAAACUUGAAAAUGUUUCAAAACAUAAAUCAUAAGUUUCAAAUGAUCAAUCUUGUAAAAAUGGCUUUCCCUUUCCAUCUUUCCCUUCCCAAAAAACAAAAAAAAUUUAAAACCGGUAUAAAAAAAUACAGAAAGGAUUCCUAAAAAUUAAAAUAAUUUAAAACAACAUAAUAUUUGAAAAAAAAAAGAGAGAGAAAAUAAGAUGCAAAAAAGGAAAUGACUUCAAUUACUGAUCAGAUUAAACAACUAACUUAUCCGUAAUGUUAAGCAUUUGUGUUAGUUAAGUAUGUGAAUAACAGGCCAUAUGUACAAACCUGGGCAAUUCACUCUCUUAAGCUAGCUAUUUGGGUUGAGUUAAGACAUAAGUCCAUUUUCUUAUCUCCCAUCAAUGUUGAGCAUCCAUAAAUAUUUUGAUGCUCCUAGUGUUAGAAUGGUGUGAUGAGUAUCCCACGUGGAACCCUUCCAUAUGGACUUAGGUAACCCCCUCCCGUGAGCUAGCUUUUAAGAGUGAUUUAGAGACCAAAGUCCAUGUUCCAAACACAUACUUCACUAGUUCAACCACGUUUAAACAAGGAAAACAUUGUUAUUUAAUCAAAUAAAACAAAUGAAAAGAAUUGCAAUAAAAAUUUUGGUCUAGGAAAAGAAUACAACCAAAAGGUAAAUGAAAACAAAAAUAGUGAGCCACUGCCCAGAAUGGAAACUUGAAAAUGUUUCAAAAAAUAAAUCAUAAGGGAAAGAUGGAAAGGGAAAACCAUUUUUACAAGAUUGAUGCACAUUCGACGAAUGCGAACAAGCAUUUCCAAAUCAUUUGAAACUUCCCAAACAACAAAAACAAUUUAAAACCAGUAUAAAAAAAUACGGAAAGGAUUCUUAAAAAUUAAAAUAAUUUAAAACAACAUAAUAUUUGAAAAAAAGAGAGAAAAUAAGAUGCAAAAAAGGAAAUCUCUUAAGCUAGCUUUUUGGGUUGAGUUAAGACAUAAGUCCAUUUUCUUAUCUCCCAUCAAUGUUGAGCAUCCAUAAAUAUUUUGAUGCUCCUAGUGUUAGAAGGGUGUGAUGAGUAUCCCACGUGGAACCCUUCCAUAUGGACUUAGGUAACCCCCUUCCGCGAGCUAGCUUUUAAGAGUGAUUUAGAGACCAAAGUCCAUGUUCCAAACAUAUACUUCACUAGUUCAACCAUGUUUAAACAUGGAAAAUAUUGUUAUUUAAUCAAAUAAAACAAAUGAAAUGAAUUGCAAUAAAAAUUUUGGUCUAGGAAAAGAAUACAACCAAAAGGUAAAUGAAAACAAAAAUACUGAGGCACUGCCCAGAAUUGAAACUUGAAAAUGUUUCAAAAAAUAAAUCAUAAGGGAAAAAUACUUUUGGCAAAAAUGAGUAGCCCAGCUAUGUCACAGUAAAAAUAACUUAAAAUGUCGCCUCAUUCUCAUACAGGAUGAGAAUGCAUUCAAUCAUAACCAUAGCAAAUUCCACUAAAAAUUACACUGAUAAAAAAGGAGAGAAGGAGAAAUAAAAGCAAAUAGAAAUCUCGUUGACAAUCAUAAUUGAAGAAUUAGAAGAACUGCAAAUAAAAAUUAAAAUUAAAAAAACACAUUGACAGAGUAAACCGUAGAAGAAGAGCAAUGUUAAACUGAAGUUGCAAAAGUAAGAAGUUUUAAAGGGAAUGUCUUUUGAAAAUAAAGCAAACGCAAAAAAUAAAUUAAAGAAAAAUAAAGAGUGCAGAAGUACUCAAAUCGAUAAAGAUGGAAAAUGGAAGCCAACUAAAUCACAUUAAACAAGCGAAUAAAAAUGUAAACCCAAAUUAUGAAACACAUACUUCACCGAAAUAAUACAACAAACAAAUGAACAUCCAAGAGAAUUCUCUUGCCCUUAGUCAAUAAUUACAAGAUGGAAAGUAGGGAAUCAGGUAGAGCAAAUCUCAAUUAUCAACUCUAUUUGCAAAAAAAAUAGAAAAAAAAAAUGUAAAUCAUUAACCACAGCAACCAAUAAAGUACAAU
rnacentral:lncRNA from 1 species